AUGCCAAAGCUGAAUUCCAGAAUCAGAAGCCUUGCUCUCCUUCCUUCCUAUUUCAGUUUCAGCCUUUCUGUUAAUCUGCCCUUAGGGUUCCUUGUUCCUGGUUUACCACUGUGUGGCGGAUUAUGCCUGGAAGUUGUUGUCUAUUCCUGGACUGUGCCUUGCAGUACAGACCUGAACCCUACUACGGUCUUGUUUAGAGCAGCUUCUUCUAUCAGGGUAUAAAGAACAAUUAACAAUAUCAGAAAGGAAAUGAAAGGACUUGUUGAUCAUUCUGUCUGACCUCUUGUUUCCCUGAAGGGGUGGAUUUUACAUUUUGUUCCAAAUCUAACCAUCAAAUUCUAAGAACCACUUCACAUUCCUGUUUGCUUUCUGGGACUGACACUGUGCAGGAAAGCCCAUGAAGCCAUGGAGAACUUCACAUUUAUUAUGCUUUAUUUUACAGUAUUACAGUAUGCACACGGUGUCUUGCAUUUGCCAUGAUGAAUAAAGUAACAAACUUCCAGGGAUAAUGAAACUUG
rnacentral:lncRNA from 1 species